GACGAACGCUGGCGGCGUGCUUAACACAUGCAAGUCGAACGGAAAGGCCCCUUUGGGGGUACUCGAGUGGCGAACGGGUGAGUAACACGUGAGUAACCUGCCCUUGACUUCGGGAUAACUUCAGGAAACUGGGGCUAAUACCGGAUAGGAAUCCUUGCUGCAUAGUGGGGGUUGGAAAGCUUCGGCGGUUUUGGAUGGACUCGCGGCUUAUCAGCUUGUUGGUGGGGUAGUGGCUUACCAAGGCUUUGACGGGUAGCCGGCCUGAGAGGGCGACCGGCCACAUUGGGACUGAGAUACGGCCCAGACUCCUACGGGAGGCAGCAGUGGGGAAUAUUGCACAAUGGGCGGAAGCCUGAUGCAGCAACGCCGCGUGCGGGAUGACGGCCUUCGGGUUGUAAACCGCUUUCAGCAGGGGCGAAGCUUGUGGUGACGGUACCUGCAGAAGAAGCACCGGCUAACUACGUG
rnacentral:rRNA from 1 species